GACGAACGCUGGCGGCGUGCUUAACACAUGCAAGUCGAACGAUGAAGCUGGAGCUUGCUCUGGUGGAUUAGUGGCGAACGGGUGAGUAACACGUGAGUAACCUGCCCUGGACUCUGGGAUAACCCCGAGAAAUCGGAGCUAAUACCGGAUAGGACCUUGGAUCGCAUGAUCUGGGGUGGAAAGUUUUUCGGUCUGGGAUGGACUCGCGGCCUAUCAGCUUGUUGGUGAGGUAAUGGCUCACCAAGGCGUCGACGGGUAGCCGGCCUGAGAGGGUGACCGGCCACACUGGGACUGAGACACGGCCCAGACUCCUACGGGAGGCAGCAGUGGGGAAUAUUGCACAAUGGGCGCAAGCCUGAUGCAGCAACGCCGCGUGCGGGAUGACGGCCUUCGGGUUGUAAACCGCUUUUAGUAAGGAGGAAGCCGCAAGGUGACGGUACUUGCAGAAAAAGGACCGGCUAACUACGUGCCAGCCGCCGCCGUAAUAC
rnacentral:rRNA from 1 species